AUGUGUAUGAUCCCUUCAACUCUUCGUCCAGAUAAUCAACUUACUGCUUUGGUGCAGAAGAUAUGCAGGAUUAAUUUGGCUCCUGUGACACUAUCCAUACUACUGGUCUCUGUCCAUAAUUUCACUUUUUUGUUUGUUGGAUGAUAUUGAAUUGCUGGAAUCUGAGUCCAUAAUUUCAGUUUUUCUCUGUUGGAUGAUGAUUUGAUGAGUUUUAAAGGCUGUGAUGGUCAAUUUUAAUGCGUCUGAGUGAAAUUGGGCAAAGAUGAGAUUGUCCGCAUCUUGGCAGGGCAACCCGGACGGUCAUGUGGUUUCACAUGGCAACCGUAAGUAUGCAGCCAUGGCGGAUUUAUCCACUCUGUUUGAUUAUUUACAAAUCUGAGCCUCAUAAUCAAUCAUUUUAUAGCAUCGACAAUAGUACUGAGAUUUGGAGUUUAUAGUAGCCGGAAGAGUUAAUGGAAGAUUUCAUAUGGCAUAUCUCAAAAAGGCAACUCGGAUGGUUAUGUGAAACAAAAAUGUAUAUCUCUAUUUCGUAUUACAUCUAGCAAGUAUGCAGCCAUGGUGGCGUAUCCGUUUUGUUCAGUUGUUUAUAAAUCUGAGCCUCCUAAAUCCUAAUGAAAGUAUUGGAUCAUGUUGAGCUGAUUACUUUGUCCCUGUUGUUCACAAUUAAUUAACAACCUUGAGGGGAAGAAACCAAAGUUGAAGGAUGAACAUUUCACAUUUUAAGAGGAAUUUUUGAGGCACACAAUGAAGGUUAUGACUUUGAUAGUGUUUCCCGGUACAGAUAUGCUUCGUAAACCUCUUCUCGAGAAUCAGUAUGCUGAUAAGAAUCUUAAGUCACUUCUGUGUUAAGUGACAAAGCUUUGGAGUGUAUCAUCACGGAGAAUGACGAAAAUACCCUUUUUAAUGAGCAAACUCUUCAAAUGGUUGUGGUUUCAAAAAUAUUUAUCAAUGGUAACAGGGGCAAACAAAGGUAUAGGAUUUGAAUUUUGCAAGCAACUGGCUUCAAAUGGGUCAAAGUAGUGUUGACUGCAAGAGACGAAAAGAGAGGCAUUGAUGCCCUUGCCAAAUUCAAAGACACUCAUCUUUCCGAUCUUGUUUUAUUCCAUCAACUUGAUGUGCUGGAUCCUGUUAGUGUUGCUUCCUUAGCUCAGUUUGUGAAAACACAAUUCGGAAAGCUUGAUAUCUUGUUGAACAAUUCUGGGAUAGGUGGUGUCGUGGCUGAUGAAGUGGCUUUAAGGGCUGCAAGAAAUAGUGCCAAAGAAGUGGCUGCAGGAAGCCAAAUCGAGUGGGGAAAGAUAUUAAACAAGUCUUACGAGUUGGCUGUACAAUGUGUACAAACAAACUACUAUGUGGCGAAAAGGAUGGUUGAGCAUUUCAUUCCUGUUCUGCAACGAUUGUGAACGUUUCUUUGUCUAUCGAAAAGUUAAAGGUGGAUUGCUGUAAAGAAGAACAAAGCAAGUUAGAAGUUUUGAGUGCUUGUUUAUUAGAGUUGAUUGGCUUAAUGUGAGGAAUUUUGGUGAGGGUUUGUAAGUUGUUAAACUUGUUGUCUAUAAGUAAAUCUUUGUAGUGAACUUUUGGCUCCUAUGUCACUUGCGAUUGCCAGAAUUAAAAAUUGGAGUUUAGAGUUUAUGUCAAUGGUACUAUAGCCAACUUCUGGGGCUGAAAAGUUGUAUGCAUCAUCGAGAUCUAUGUUUAU
rnacentral:lncRNA from 1 species